UACAGAGGUCUCAAGCGUUGUUCGGAUUCAUUGGGCGUAAAGGGCGCGUAGGUGGCGCGCUAAGUCAGGUGUGAAAUCUCGGGGCUUAACUCCGAAACUGCAUUUGAUACUGGCGUGCUUGAGGACUGGAGAGGAGACUGGAAUUCAUGGUGUAGCAGUGAAAUGCGUAGAGAUCAUGAGGAAGACCAGUGGCGAAGGCGGGUCUCUGGACAGUUCCUGACACUGAGGCACGAAGGCCAGGGGAGCAAACGGG
rnacentral:rRNA from 1 species